UACGGCUAAAUCACGUUGAAACACCAGUUCCCGUACGAUCACCGAACUUUAGCAACGUCGCGCCUGGUCAGUACAUAGAUGGGUGACCACUUGGGAAUAUCAGGUUCUGUAA